CUGGAUAGGAAGAUAAAAGGCAUCUUUUAUCUUUUAAAAGACCUAGUAAUAGGUAUGCUUUAGGAGGGGCUUGCGCCAUAUUAGUUAGUUGGUAGGGUAAUGGCCUACCAAGACGAUGAUGUGUAGCUGGACUGAGAGGUUGAACAGCCACAUUGGGACUGAGACACGGCCCAAACUCCUACGGGAGGCAGCAGUAGGGAAUUUUCGGCAAUGGAGGAAACUCUGACCGAGCAACGCCGCGUGAAUGACGAAGUACUUCGGUAUGUAAAGUUCUUUUAUCAAGGAAGAAAAGCAAAUGGCGAACCAUUUGUUUGCCGGUACUUGAUGAAUAAGCCCCGGCUAAUUAUGUGCCAGCAGCCGCGGUAAGACAUAAGGGGCAAGUGUUAUCCGGAAUUAUUGGGCGUAAAGGGUGCGUAGGCGGUCUAGUAAGUCAGUGGUGUAAUGGCAACGCUUAACGUUGUCCGGCUAUUGAAACUGCUAAACUUGAGUUAGAUAGAGGCGAGUGGAAUUCCAUGUGUAGCGGUAAAAUGCGUAAAUAUAUGGAGGAACACCAGAGGCGUAGGCGGCUCGCUGGGUCUUAACUGACGCUGAGGCACGAAAGCGUGGGGAGCAAACAGGAUUAGAUACCCUGGUAGUCCACGCCGUAAACGAUGAGUACUAAGUGUCGGGUUAAACCGGUACUGAAGUUAACACAUUAAGUACUCCGCCUGAGUAGUACGUACGCAAGUAUGAAACUUAAAGGAAUUGACGGGACUCCGCACAAGCGGUGGAUCAUGUUGUUUAAUUCGAAGAUACCCGAAAAACCUUACCAGGUCUUGACAUGUUUUUGCAAAAUGAUAGUAAUAUCGUGGAGGUUACCAGAAACACAGGUGGUGCAUGGUUGUCGUCAGCUCGUGUCGUGAGAUGUUAGGUUAAGUCCUAAAACGAGCGAAACCCUUAUCGUUAGUUGCCAGCACGUUAUGGUGGGGACUUUAACGAGACUGCCAAUGAUAAAUUGGAGGAAGGUGAGGAUCACGUCAAAUCAGCAUGCCCCUUAUGACCUGGGCUACAAACGUGAUACAAUGGCUGUUACAAAGGGUAGCUGAAACGCAAGUUCUUGGCCAAUCCCCAAAAACAGUCCCAGUCCGGAUUGAAGUCUGCAACUCGACUUCAUGAAGUUGGAAUCGCUAGUAAUCGCGAAUCAGCAUGUCGCGGUGAAUACGUUCUCGGGGUUUGUACACACCGCCCGUCAAACCACGAAAGUUGG
rnacentral:rRNA from 1 species